GGGAGGCAGCAGUAAGGAAUUUUCCACAAUGGGCGAAAGCCUGAUGGAGCAACUCCGCGUGCAGGACGAGGGCCUUCGGGUUGAAAACUGCUUUUAUAAGUGAGGAAUAUGACGGUAACUUAUGAAUAAGGAUCGGCUAACUACGUGCCAGCAGCCGCGGUCAUACGUAGGAUCCGAGCGUUAUCCGGAGUGACUGGGCGUAAAGAGUUGCGUAGGCGGUUAGUUAAGUGAAUAGUGAAACCUGGUGGCUCAACCAUACAGACUAUUAUUCAAACUGGCUAACUCGAGAGUUGCAGAGGUACCUGGAAUUUCUGAAGUAGGGGUAAUAUCCGUAGAUAUCAGAAGGAACACCAAUGGCGUAGGCAGGGUACUGGGCAAUUUCUGACGCUAAGGCACGAAAGCGUGGGGAGCGAACCGGAUUAGAUACCCGGGUAGUCCACGCCGUAAACGAUGGAUACUAGCUGUAGGGGGUAUCGACCCCUUCUGUAGCGAAGCUAACGCGUUAAGUAUCCCGCCUGUGGAGUACGGCCGCAAGGCUAAAACAUAAAGGAAUUGACGGGGACCCGCACAAGCGGUGGAUUAUGUUCUUUAAUUCGAUGCUAAACGAAGAACCUUACCAGGGUUUGACAUCCUUGGAAUUUUUCCGAAAGGAAAAAGUGCUUUUGAACCAAGUGACAGAUGAUGCAUGGCCGUCGUCAGCUCGUGUCGUGAGAUGUUUGGUUAAGUCCAUUAACGAGCGCAACCCUUGUGAUUAGUUGUAUUUUUCUAAUCAGACUGCCCCGGUAACGGGGAGGAAGGAGGGGAUGAUGUCAGGUCAGUAUUUCUCUUACAUCCUGGGCUAGAAACGUAAUACAAUGGCUAGUACAAUGCGCCAAUGCCAACCCGCGAGGGGGAGCAAAUCGCAUCAAAGCUAGUCCCAGUUCGGAUAGGAGGCUGAAACUCGCCUCCUUGAAGUCGGAAUCGCUAGUAAUCGCAAGUCAGCGAAUUGCGGUGGAUACGUUCCCGGGUCUUGUACACACCGCCCGUCAAACCAUGAAAGUGACCAACACCCGAAGUCCGAUUCGUCGGCCUAAGGUGGGGGGCAUGAUUGGGGUU
rnacentral:rRNA from 1 species